UCUUGGACAAUGGGCGCAAGCCUGAUCCAGCCAUGCCGCGUGUGUGAAGAAGGCCCUAGGGUUGUAAAGCACUUUCAGCAGGGAGGAAGGCUUCUGGUUAAUACCCGGGAGUACUUGACGUUACCUGCAGAAGAAGCACCGGCUAAUUUCGUGCCAGCAGCCGCGGUAAUACGAAAGGUGCGAGCGUUAAUCGGAAUUACUGGGCGUAAAGCGCGCGUAGGCGGCUGCUUAAGUCUGAUGUGAAAUCCCCGGGCUCAACCUGGGAAUGGCAUCGGAUACUGGGUAGCUAGAGUGCAGUAGAGGAAGGUGGAAUUCCAGGUGUAGCGGUGAAAUGCGUAGAGAUCUGGAGGAACACCAGUGGCGAAGGCGGCCUUCUGGACUGACACUGACGCUGAGGUGCGAAAGCGUGGGGAUCAAACAGG
rnacentral:rRNA from 1 species